GUGCUUGCUUCAGCAGCACAUAUACUAAAUUGGAAUGACACAGACAAGGUUAGCAAGGCCUCUGCACAAGGAUGAAACCCAAAUUUGUGAAGCGCUCCAUAUUUUA
ensembl:snRNA U6 U6 spliceosomal RNA